rnacentral:rRNA from 1 species
UACGUAGGUGGCAAGCGUUGUCCGGAUUUAUUGGGCGUAAAGUGCGCGUAGGCGGUUUGUAAAGUCCGAGGUGAAAUCUCCUGGCCCAACUGGGAGAAGCCCCCGGAUACUGGCAGACUGGAGGGAAGCAGAGGAGAGUGGAAUUCCCGGUGUAGUGGUGGAAUGCGUAGAUAUCGGGAGGAACACCAGUGGCGAAGGCGGCUCUCUGGGCUUCACCUGACGCUGAGGCGCGAAAGCGUGGGGAGCAAACCGG